GCCAAUCAGAGGCCGAGUAGGGCGGGACUAACUGUGACCGCAGUGCUAGGUUGUCUCUGGCAGCACCUGGCCGUGAAGAUGGACGCAGGUGAGGCGCUACACCUGAACUUAGAGGCGCUAUCCUGAGACGUCUGCAGAGCCCAGUCAACCACCCGCUGCAGCCGGCAGUUUCACAGAGAGCUUAAAUGCAGCCGUUUGACCAGCAGGGGGGGUCCUCCUCCUUCAGUCUGAGGUUUACGGAAGAUUUAAAAACCAAUAAAACAAGGGGGAAAUAAUACAAUACUUAUAAUAUUUAUUAUUUGUAAUAUGUAUUUACUUUUUAUGGAAAGU